rnacentral:rRNA from 1 species
GAUGAACGCUAGCUACAGGCUUAACACAUGCAAGUCGAGGGGAAACGACAUCGAAAGCUUGCUUUUGAUGGGCGUCGACCGGCGCACGGGUGAGUAACGCGUAUCCAACCUGCCCACCACUUGGGGAUAACCUUGCGAAAGUAAGACUAAUACCCGAUGAUAUCUCUAGAAGACAUCUGAAAGGGAUUAAAGAUUUAUCGGCAACGGAUGGGGAUGCGUCUGAUUAGGUUGUUGGCGGGGUAACGGCCCACCAAGCCCACGAUCAGUAGGGGUUCUGAGAGGAAGGUCCCCUACAUUGGAACUGAGACACGGUCCAAACUCCUACGGGAGGCAGCAGUGAGGAAUAUUGGUCAAUGGACGGAAGUCUGAACCAGCCAAGUAGCGUGCAGGAUGACGGCCCUAUGGGUUGUAAACUGCUUUUAUGUGGGAAUAAAGUGAGGGACGUGUCCCUUUUGUAGGUACCACAUGAAUAAGGACCGGCUAAUUCCGUG